rnacentral:misc_RNA from 1 species
UAAAAUAAACGAACUUGUAGCAAGUUAACAAAAUGGCGCUUACGUGUGCGAGUAAGUAAACAAGUUUUUUGCUUUAUUUUGCAUAUUAGUAUGUUAUUUUUUGCGAUUAUUAGAAUUAACUAAUGCAUUGUAAUGAGAAAGUAUAGUUUAUAAUUUGAAAUUUGAAACAAAAAUGUGUACAAUAACAAAAGUCUCACAUUGGGCGAUAAAAGGAUACCGGGUGUAUCGCAUUCUCUACGUUUGGGUCUCGAUAACCACCUGAUGCUUAUUUUUCAGUAAGUAACGAAGUUCCCGAACAUCCUGUUAUUUCACCUGUUUCGGGAUGCAUUUUUGAAAGGCGAUUGGUAGAAAAGUAUAUAGCUGAAAAUGGAGUGGACCCAAUGAACCAUGAAAAGUUAAACGAAGAUCAGCUAAUACCUGUAAAAACUUCUACAUUGGUCAAGCCAAGACCACCAUCAGCUACGAGCAUUCCGGCUAUUUUGAAAUCGCUACAGGACGAAUGGGUUAGUUUGAUUUGUAUAUUGUUACAAUAAACAGAGGUAAUGUAAGAAAUUAUUUUCUAUCGCAGGAUGCGGUUAUGUUGCACAGUUUCACAUUGAGGCAACAACUUCAAACGGCUAGACAGGAAUUAUCUCAUGCUUUAUAUCAACACGACGCGGCUUGUAGAGUUAUCGCUAGGCUUACGAAGGAAGUUACUGCCGCCAGAGAGGCUCUGGCUACGCUUAAACCUCAAACUGGAGUUACACCCGCACAAACUCAGCCGACAGCAACAACAACUGUUGUUGCAGCUGCGGACCAAAGUGUCGAGGCUCAAACGUCAACAGGCAUGACCGAGGAAAUUUUAACAAAAUUGCAAGAUACCGCCGCAAAAUUGACCUCAGAAAGAAAGAAACGUGGCAAGACCAUACCAGAGGGAUUAGCGUCUACUGAACAAAUUCAAUCCUACAGAAAAAUUGCUUCGAAAACCUCAAAUCACAGUCCCAGCGUUCCAGGUAUAUUGUCUUUGGAUAUUUGCCCUAAGGAUACGAAUAAGAUAAUAACCGGAGGAAACGAUAAGACCGCUGUUGUAUAUAAUAAAGAAACAGAUUGUUUAGUUGCCACUUUGAAGGGUCAUUCAAAGAAGGUCACCCAUGUUGUCUAUCAUCCGGAAGAAGAACUAGCCUUUACUGCUAGUCCAGAUCAGACAAUCCGCGUCUGGGGAGUUAAAGAGUCAAAGUGUGCUCACGUGAUCAGAGCCCACGAAAUGCCAGUUACGGGAAUUUCUUUGCAUGCAACGGGAGAUUAUCUGCUAUCGUGUUCGCUGGAUGGUUAUUGGGCCUUCUCAGAUAUAAGAAACGGGCGGGUUCUUACAAGAGUUGGCGAUAAAAAUUCCUCUGUACCUUUAACGUGCGCACAAUUCCAUCCGGACGGUCUUAUUUUCGGAACGGGGACUGAGGAUUCGACAAUAAAGAUUUGGGAUUUGAAAGAACAGGCUAAUGUGGCUAAUUUCCCUGGAGAUGCGGGGCCUAUAACGUCCAUUUCAUUUUCGGAGAACGGUUAUUACUUAGCGACGGCUGCUGAUGAUUCGACAGUAAAGUUGUGGGAUUUACGUAAAUUGAAAAAUUUCAAGAAUAUUCAAUUAGAUGAGGGUUAUGAGGUGAAAUCUUUAUGCUUUGAUCAUUCUGGAUCUUAUUUGGGCGUAGCGGGAACGGAUGUUCGAGUUUACGUUUGCAAACAGUGGUCGAUGGUAAAGAGCUUUUACGAUCAUACAGCUACGGCUACGGGAAUAAGAUUUGGUGAAAACAGUAACUUUAUUGCGUCAACUGGAAUGGAUCGAGCCUUGAUGUUUUACGCAGAAGGAUGA